rnacentral:rRNA from 1 species
AGUCGAGGGGCAGCAUGGUCUUAGCUUGCUAAGGCUGAUGGCGACCGGCGCACGGGUGAGUAACACGUAUCCAACCUGCCGUCUACUCUUGGCCAGCCUUCUGAAAGGAAGAUUAAUCCAGGAUGGCAUCAUGAGUUCACAUGUCCGCAUGAUUAAAGGUAUUUUCCGGUAGACGAUGGGGAUGCGUUCCAUUAGAUAGUAGGCGGGGUAACGGCCCACCUAGUCAACGAUGGAUAGGGGUUCUGAGAGGAAGGUCCCCCACAUUGGAACUGAGACACGGUCCAAACUCCUACGGGAGGCAGCAGUGAGGAAUAUUGGUCAAUGGGCGAUGGCCUGAACCAGCCAAGUAGCGUGAAGGAUGACUGCCCUAUGGGUUGUAAACUUCUUUUAUAAAGGAAUAAAGUCGGGUAUGCAUACCCGUUUGCAUGUACUUUAUGAAUAAGGAUCGGCUAACUCCGUGCCAGCAGCCGCGGUAAUACGGAGGAUCCGAGCGUUAUCCGGAUUUAUUGGGUUUAAAGGGAGCGUAGAUGGAUGUUUAAGUCAGUUGUGAAAGUUUGCGGCUCAACCGUAAAAUUGCAGUUGAUACUGGAUGUCUUGAGUGCAGUUGAGGCAGGCGGAAUUCGUGGUGUAGCGGUGAAAUGCUUAGAUAUCACGAAGAACUCCGAUUGCGAAGGCAGCCUGCUAAGCUGCAACUGACAUUGAGGCUCGAAAGUGUGGGUAUCAAACAGGAUUAGAUACCCUGGUAGUCCACACGGUAAACGAUGAAUACUCGCUGUUUGCGAUAUACGGCAAGCGGCCAAGCGAAAGCGUUAAGUAUUCCACCUGGGGAGUA